rnacentral:autocatalytically_spliced_intron from 1 species
UCUGAUCUACUCGUCAGUGAAAUACCAUUCUUUACAAUAAUAUGCUCUAAUCUCUAAGGCAAAAACUUAGAGAGACAGUAUCUGGUGGGUAGUUUUACUGGGGCGGUAUCCUCCUAAAGAGUAACGGAGGAGUUUAUUAAGGUUAGCUAGGCGCGAAUGGAAACCGUGCCGAUAGUGUAAUGGCACAAGCUAGCUUAACUGUAAGACGUACAUGUCGAGCAGAUACGA